rnacentral:rRNA from 1 species
UACAGAGGGUGCGAGCGUUAAUCGGAAUUACUGGGCGUAAAGCGUGCGCAGGCGGUUUUGUAAGCCAGAUGUGAAAUCCCCGGGCUUAACCUGGGAAUGGCAUUUGGGACUGCAAGGCUGGAGUUUGGCAGAGGAGACUGGAAUUCCCGGUGUAGCAGUGAAAUGCGUAGAUAUCCGGAGGAACACCGGUGGCGAAAGCGGCUCACUGGACCGAAUCUGACACUGAGGUGCGAAAGCUAGGGUAGCAAACGGG